UUUCAGUGCUCAAAGUUCAUUUUGAGAAUUCAUUUAUAUUUUAAACUGCAGAGAAGAUAAGGAGAUAUUGAUUGAUACUAUUUUCUGUGUGUGGAUCAUAUAAAUAAGAAAAUAAUUGAUGUUGGUUUUAUGAUAAAGAAAAAGAAUCAGAAAAAAAAUGGUCAAUAUUUUUCUAUAUAUGUUGAAUAUAUACUACACAAUUUGUAUUUUUUCUUCCAAAAGUUAACAAAUUGUAUAAUUUAAUUAUGUAUUUGUCUAGAUAUUAACUACCCUUGAUUGUGCACAACGGGGCAGAAAUUGGAGAAAUGUUCAUUAUAGAAUUAAAGUAGGAUGAGUUAAAUAGAGGAGUGUUUGCGCCAUAAUUAUACCUUUUGAAUUUAAAGAUUAAUUUUACAAAACUACUGUUAGAGUAUUCGUAUUUUAUGGAACAAUUUAGUCAAAAGUCAAGAAGCACCAUAUAUAUAUUUUUGCCCAAGUAAACUUGCAAUAACCAAAGAAACCGAACUACAGGGCCAAGAGAGAGGGCUUACCCCCACUUAACAAUUGAAAAAGACCAUUUCCAAAACCCAUAAAAUAAAAUAAAAUAAAGAAAAAAUACUAAAACUCAGGACCACUACCAUCCUGAGAAACAACACUAUGAACUAUUGAAAACUUAAAAACACAACACACUAGCUCAUCAUCCUGCAGCUGCAUCAACCGAACAGAAAGAACCCAGAAAAACAGAUUCCAUUGGUGCUUAAUCAUUAAUCCAAUUCGGGAAGUCAUUUAGAUGCACUCCAACAAUCUCACUUACCUCCCAAAACACCAUUCUGGCAAAGCUGAUUGGCACUUGGAGCUGUACCCUGAUGAAGGUUGGAAUUCCUGCUCCUCCAAAUACCCCAUAUAACCAUAGAGAAAAAACACCCUGCACCACCUGUUCUUUUAAGAUUUCUGCUCGAAUCUUUCCUGGAACCAAACAAUUAAGUGAUUCCAUGAAGAUAUAUGCCCCCAAUUCCAAUGCAAGACAUCAAAUAGCCAUUUCCACACACUUGCAGCAUAUGGACAUUCAAAAAACAAGUGUUCAAUCUGAUCCCCAGCCCUAUAACAGUUAUGACAGACAGAAGAGAGACAAAUACCCCUCAAUUGCGGAUUCGAAAGGGAGGUAAUUUUGUUUUGAAGGAUGGCAAGUUGUCGAGCAUGCUGCAGGUCUACUUUGAUUCCAGCAAACUUCAUACCACUGCUUUUUGGGUUGAUGAGCUCUCAAAUUCUUCCAAGCUGACUUGAAUGAAAAUGCACCAUGUUUCCAUAGAACUUGAUCUGCUCCUUGAUGGAAUGUAGCCUGACGCACUCACAUUAGACUUGUGAUUCCAGAUUAGUUCAGCCUUACUAGAUAAGAAUCGCCAAUCAUCUCUUUCCUUGCAUAAGUGUCAUUAACACUUGCAUUCUUGGAAAGAUCAAACCAUCUCACCACCCUAUGCCCAAAUGCUUCCUGAUUCCAAAUGAAUUCAGCCUCACUAGAUAAGAAUCGAGGUUUCAACCAUCUCUUUCCUUGCAUAAUGUCAUUAACACUGGCAUUCUUGGAAAGAUCAAACCAUCUCACCGCUCUAUGCCCAAAAGCUUGAAUUAAAGUUUACCCCUUCCACCAAGGAUCCGAGAACAACUUAAUUGAUUGACCAUCCCCUAUAUUAAAACGAUACUGGGUAUCAAAUGUUCUCUAGUAUCUAGAAGAUUCCUCCAGAACGUAGAGAAUUUACUGCUAUAUGUACAACUCCAUAUUGAUGGAAUAGCAGCCCUCAAAGAUUGGAACCAAGCGAUCCACAACCUGUCUUUAUCCUGAAUAAAUUCCCACAAUAGAGCAAUCUCACUUAACUUCAAUUGAGGUGGUUCUUAUUGAGGAUAAUGCUAAGGGAAAGCGAAAAGGAAAACUAAAUGAUAUUCUGUGAUUUAAUUGAGACUGUAUAACCUUUGAGCAGAAUGAUGACACGUGAUUCGUCUAGCCAACCCAAAUGGUUGAGAAAAUGCUUUAUCAAGUUGAGUUUAUUCAUCUGGAAACUUGCUUAUAAUUUAUUACAUGUAUGACAAGUUUUAAUGAUCUUCAUAUAACAAGGAAGAAAAUUUAUCAAUAUAUGAAAGCAGGAUGAUGGUGGCUAUAGGCAGAGCAUUGGCGGAAUUGAGAAACACAUUUGACAAAAUUGAUUCCAGAAUAGUUUGUAUAUGGCUUUAUCAUGUUGAAUUGAGUUUAUGUUGGAUGAAGGUCUUUUACUUAUCAAAAAAAAAAAAAAAAAUGGAUGAAGGUCUUUAAUUUUCUUCAAAUUAAUGAAUACUGUUUGAAGUCAUUGUCCAAUGGUAGCUGGUAGUUAUAGGCUUGUUACAUUGACUCACCUGUUUCCGUUCACGUACCCGUGUCGACACCACACGACAAGUGUAUGGGUAUAGAGUAUGUGUUCGGCGAGAAAUUAUACGUUGCGACGGUUGUAACCACCAAAGCAAAGCAAGUGAAUUAACUUUUUAGUUGUAUUGUAGGUCCACCUUGCUUUGGUGGAUUUUUUGUAACCGUGGGUUAUUCCACGUCAGCGUUACAACCGUUGCAACAUAUAAUUUCUCGUGUUCACAUGAUAUGAUUGAACAACAACUUAGAUUUAAUAGCAGAGAUGAAUUUCCUAUCUUUGAGAUAGAUAGAAACACUUUUCUUUUACCACACAUCAUUUAAUUUGAUUUAUAAUUGAGUAUAUUCUUAUAAAUCAACAACAUUAACAUAACACUCUAAUAAAUCAUAUUAUGUACGUAUUUAAAUGCAUAGUAUGUGUCUACGUAUCUGUAUCCAUAUCCAACUUUUAGACUCAUAUUCCUGUAUCCUAAAUUUGAGAGGUCCGAUACUUGGACACAGCUGCACCCGAGAUGCUUACCUAAGUCUGGGUAACACAGGUUAUAGUUAUGGUUGCUCCUUGAACUUGGUCAACUUUCAUUUUUGAUGUUGAAGCCAAUGAUUUCCGUGUUAAAAGAUCUGGCACCUCUACGCUGUUAAUUAUUUCCUACAAUUUAGCAAUUUAUAUUACUGCUGUCCUGUUUGGACCUUCAGAAUGAAUCUUUGUGAAAUAAUUAAGUAAAUACAAAACACAAGAAAGUAAUUCUACUGAUGUGAUGGUAAGUGAAGAGGAGAUGGCCAAUUUAAAUAAGGUUCAAUAUCUAUGGGUCCCUGAUGCAAGAAAAAAAGUAAAAGAUCAGAGUAUAAGAGGAGAAGAAAAGAAAGAAGGAGAAGGAUGGAGGAAAAGAGAAGAAGAGAAAUCUUCCACAAAGAGAGAGAGAACGCCCGCGGGGGGGAGAAGAGAGAGAAGGAAAAAAAAUGAUGGUGGAAAAGCGAAGAAGAUUACAUAAAACAGUGAGAUUAUAAUAUUUUUAUUUUAGAUACAGAUCUGUAGUUGUUUAAGAAUUUUCCAACAUUUUAUUUCUUCAUUACACAAGGACCCUGUAUGGACAAAACCAAACUAAAAUAAAUACCUAAUAAUUAAAUAUCCCUAAAAAUAAGAAUAUGUGAAAGUAAAAGUAACUUUUAAAUUUAAUCCUCAGGAUUGUUGCACCUAUGCAUGCACCAUUUUGGGGCCGCGGGCGCGGGGGG